AGGCUUGUAGCUCAGGUGGUUAGAGCGGCACCCCUGAUAAGGGUGAGGUCGGUGGUUCAAGUCCACUCAGGCCUA
rnacentral:tRNA from 1 species